UACAGAGGGUGCAAGCGUUGUUCGGAAUUAUUGGGCGUAAAGCGCGUGUAGGCGGCUUUGCAAGUCGGGUAUGAAAGCCCUCAGCUCAACUGAGGAAGUGCGCCCGAAACUGCAGAGCUUGAGUACCGGAGAGGAUGGUGGAAUUCCCCAAGUAGAGGUGAAAUUCGUAGAUAUGGGGAGGAACACCGGUGGCGAAGGCGACCAUCUGGACGGAUACUGACGCUGAGACGCGAAAGCGUGGGUAGCAAACAGG
rnacentral:rRNA from 1 species